rnacentral:rRNA from 1 species
CAGUAGCCGCGGGAAUACGUAGGGUGCAAGCGUUAAUCGGAAUUACUGGGCGUAAAGCGUGCGCAGGCGGUUAUAUAAGACAGAUGUGAAAUCCCCGGGCUCAACCUGGGAACUGCAUUUGUGACUGUAUAGCUAGAGUACGGCAGAGGGGGAUGGAAUUCCGCGUGUAGCAGUGAAAUGCGUAGAUAUGCGGAGGAACACCGAUGGCGAAGGCAAUCCCCUGGGCCUGUACUGACGCUCAUGCACGAAAGCGUGGGGAGCAAACAGGAUUAGAUACCCCUGUAGUCCCUGUCUCUUAUUU